CAUGCAAGUCGAGCGAUGAGAUCCUACGGGAGCACAUCAGCGGCAGACGGGUGAGUAACACGUAGAUGACGUACCCUCAAGAGGGGGAUAGCGGAUGGAAACAUGCGCUAAUACCGGAUGACGUUACGAUGUCGGAAUGGUAAGGAAAGCUACGGCGCUUGAGGAGCGGUCUGCGGGCCAUCAGCUAGUUGGUAGGGUAAGGUGCCUACCAAGGCGAGGACGGGUAGGGGGUGUGAGAGCACGGGCCCCCACAAUGGGACUGAGACACGGCCCAUACUCCUACGGGAGGCAACAGCAGGGAAUAUUGCACAAUGGACGGAAGUCUGAUGCAGCGACGCCGCGUGAGUGACGAAAGCCUUCGGGUAGUAAAACUCUUCUGAGGGGGAAGAGCGAGGACGGUACCCCUGGAAUAAGCGUCUGCUAACUACGUGCCAGCAGCCGUGGUAUGACGUAGGACAUCGAGCGUUAUCCGGAUCGGCUGGGCGUAACGCGUCUGUAAGCGGAUGUGUAAGUUGGGCGUGCAAGCUCCGGGCUUAACCCGGAGAGCCCGUUCAAUACUGCAUAACUUGAGGGUGUCAGAGGGGAUCGGAAUUCCCGCUGUAUCGGUAAAAUGCGCAGAGAUCGGGAGGAACACCAGUGUCGGAGACGGUUCCCUGGGGCACACCUGACGCUGAGAGACGCAAGCUAGGGGAGCGCACAGGAUUAGAGACCCUGGUAGUCUUAGCCCUGUACGAUGAAUGCUAGGUGUGGGAUCGAAUGGUUCCGUGCCGGAGCGAACGCGAUAAGCAUUCCGCAUGGGGAGUAUGGCCGCAAGGUUAGAACUCUCACGGAUUGACGGGGCCCCGCACAAGCAGCGGAGCGUAUGGUUUAAUUCGAUGUUAUACGAAGACUCUUACAUGGGUUUGACAUGUAGGUGGUAGUGAAUCGAAAGGUGAACGACCCUUCGGGGAGCCUACACAGGUGCUGCAUGGCUGUCGUCAGCUCGUGCCGUGAGGUGUCGGGUUAAGUCCCGUAACGAGCGCAACCCUUGCUCCUAGUUACAAGUGUCUAGGGGGACUGCCGGCGGAAAGCCGGAGGAAGAUGGGGAUGACGUCAAGUCAGCAUGGCCCUUAUAUCCAGGGCUACACACACGCUACAAUGGUCGGUACAAAGGGCAGCGAAACCGCGAGGCGGAGCGAAUCC
rnacentral:rRNA from 1 species